rnacentral:lncRNA from 1 species
CUGGAAUCCAUUUCCACGCUUCUUACACAAUGCAGAGGGGCCAUGGCAAUCAUGUUCAAGUCACUGUUUUCUGAAAUCCAGGACUCAGAAGUGUUCAGCAAACUGAGCUACACCCUCAGUUGGAGUGCUAUGUUUUUAGUAAGAAGACACAGACUUUGCUCAACAAGCCUCUAAGAGGACAUUUGAAUACUGAAGUCUCCACGGGAAAAUCUUGCCCUCUACUGGUCCAUGAGGCUAUG